GUUAGCGUGGCCGAGUGGUUAGGGCGCCGGACUUAAAAUCCGGAGGCCGCGGGUUCAAGUCCCGCUCCGGCUGACC